CUUCCGUCUGGGCGUGUGUCCGCCCCCGGCCGGCUUCCUCCCGUCGGGCUCGGGUCGACCCCACCGUCCCGCUCCGCCCCGGGUCCUCCCUCCCAGCUUCCCUCCGGUCUAUUUUUCUGUCUCUGGGCCCCUCGUUCUCUUUGUUUUUGGACUCCCCAGUUUCCUCUGUCUUUUGACCCCCCCGCCCCCACCCUGACUCUCCCUGGAACCCCCACGUUUCUCGUUGUCUUUCUGGAACGCCGAGCCACCCUGAAGGGUCCCUUCCCAAGCCCUUAGGGACCGCAGAGGACUUGGGGACCAGCAAGCAACCCCCAGGGCACGAGAAGAGCUCUUGCUGUCUGCCCUGCCUCACCCUGCCCCACGCCAGGCCCGGUGGCCCCCAGCUGCAUCAAGUGGAGGCGGAGGAGGAGGCGGAGGAGGGUGGCACCAUGGGCCCGGGCGGUGCCCUCCAUGCCCGGGGGAUGAAGACACUGCUGCCAUGGACAGCCCGUGCCAGCCGCAGCCCCUAAGUCAGGCUCUCCCUCAGUUACCAGGGUCUUCGUCAGAGCCCUUGGAGCCUGAGCCUGGCCGGGCCAGGAUGGGAGUGGAGAGUUACCUGCCCUGUCCCCUGCUCCCCUCCUACCACUGUCCAGGAGUGCCUAGUGAGGCCUCGGCAGGGAGUGGGACCCCCAGAGCCACAGCCACCUCUACCACUGCCAGCCCUCUUCGG
rnacentral:lncRNA from 1 species